rnacentral:rRNA from 1 species
CUACGGGAGGCUGCAGGCGAGAAAACUUUGCAAUGUGCGAAAGCACGACAAGGUUAAUCCGAGUGGUUUCUGCUAAAGGAACCUUUUGACAGUCCUAGAAACACUGUUGAAUAAGGGGUGGGCAAGGUUCUGGUGUCAGCCGCCGCGGUAAAACCAGCACCUCAAGUGGUCAGGAUGAUUAUUGGGCCUAAAGCAUCCGUAGCCGGCUCUGUAAGUUUUCGGUUAAAUCUGUACGCUCAACGUACAGGCUGCCGGGAAUACUGCAGAGCUAGGGAGUGGGAGAGGUAGACGGUACUCGGUAGGAAGGGGUAAAAUCCUUUGAUCUAUUGAUGACCACCUGUGGCGAAGGCGGUCUACCAGAACACGUCCGACGGUGAGGGAUGAAAGCUGGGGGAGCAAACCGGAUUAGAUACCCGGGUAGUC